rnacentral:tRNA from 1 species
GGUAUAGUAACAUAAAAGGUUAAUGCGACUAUUUGCAAAAUAGUAAAUGUAGGUUCGAGGCCUAUUUAUACCU